rnacentral:rRNA from 1 species
AGUGAACGCUGGCGGUAGGCCUAACACAUGCAAGUCGAACGGCAGCACAGUAAGAGCUUGCUCUUACGGGUGGCGAGUGGCGGACGGGUGAGGAAUACAUCGGAAUCUACUUUUUCGUGGGGGAUAACGUAGGGAAACUUACGCUCAUACCGCAUACGACCUACGGGUGAAAGCAGGGGAUCUUCGGACCUUGCGCGAUUGAAUGAGCCGAUGUCGGAUUUGCUAGUUGGCGGGGUAAAGGCCCACCAAGUCGACGAUCCGUAGCUGUUCUGAGAGGAUGAUAGGCCACACUGGAACUGAGACACGGUCAAGACUCCUAAGGGAGGCAGCAGUGGGGAAUAUUGGGCAAUGGGGGCAAGCCUGAUCCAGCCAUACCGCGUGGGUGAAGAAGGCCUUCGGGUUGUAAAGCCCUUUUGUGGGGAAAGAAAAGCAGCAGGUUAAUACCCCGCUGUUCUGACGGUACCCAAAGAAUAAGCACCGGCUAACCUCGUG